rnacentral:rRNA from 3 species
UAAAACCAGCACCUCAAGUGGUCAGGAUGAUUAUUGGGCCUAAAGCAUCCGUAGCCUGCCCUGUAAGUUUUCGGUUAAAUCUGUAUGCUCAACAUACAGGCCGCCGGGAAUACUGCAGGGCUAGGGAGUGGGAGAGGUAGACGGUACUCGGGAGGAAGUGGUAAAAUGCUUUGAUCUCUCGAUGACCACCUGUGGCGAAGGCGGUCUACCAGAACACGUCCGACGGUGAGGGAUGAAAGCUGGGGGAGCAAACCGGAUUAGAUACCCGGGUAGUCCCAGCCGUAAACUAUGCAAACUCAGUGAUGCAUUGGCUUGUGGCCAAUGCAGUGUUGCAGGGAAGCCGUUAAGUUUGCCGCCUGGGAAGUACGUACGCAAGUAUG